AUACCUUACAAGAGACCUUUUGCAUGAAGCAUAUUCCAGUUACAUUAUAUUCACUUAUUAGCAACUUUUUAUAAAAUCGUAUAGAUUGCAACGUCACAGCAGUUAAUGGAGAUUCUUUUUCAAAACAGGGACUACGGUUCUUUGCUUUGAAAACAGGAGGAGGAGCUGGGUGAAAUCCCUGCUGCUAUUGUGAAAUGCUUGGGGCCACGGUGUACAGUGUAGUGACAAACACCCUGUCCCAGGCAGCUGCAGAUUUGUUACAAUAUAGUAGCAGAGGCAAGAAGGAAAAGCGAGGUUUUCGGAUCAGUUCUUCUCCCACUCAUCAGAUGCCUCUGGCUCUCCCGCCAUCCAGCCCAAUUUUCCAUUAUUCUGGCUGCCCAAUCAGCAGGGGCAACACUUACCUGUCGUGUUGUUGCAUGGGGAGGUUGGGGGAGGGAAAGGAGUUUGUGGUGGAAGCAGCAGAGCAACUUGUUUCCUAAUUUGCUCAGAAUGCAGGUUCCCACUAAAAUGGCUACCCACUAAGUGGUCACCAUAGAAACCUGCUCAGGUUCUCAAAGAAGCACUGCUCCCUGCAGGGAGAGGGACUCACUUCUACCAGGAGUUUUAGCUGACCUGUUCUUACACACUGGCUGCUCCCUUACCUGAGGGAUAUCUAGGCCUGCUGCCUCUCCCAGGAAUAUCCAAGCUCAUCGGCAGGUCAUUCCACAUCACACACAUUGUUUUCUCUCCAAGCUGACAUGCCCGGUUUAAUUUUCAAGCCAGGGCUCUGGCCACUCUGAAGCACUAUAAAUAAUCCUGCCCUAUAUCUUUAUAUUAAAACCUUUCACACUGGUAAUGGAAACAUUAUCCUAGCUGCUUCCCAAGGCCCUUUCAUUGAAGGGAAUCUCAUAAUCAUUUAUUAAGGCUCAUAGCACCCAUGCGAGGUAUUAUCUCCAUUUUACUGAAGGGGAAACCGAGGCACAAAGCGGCCAAAUCUUAUCCAAGACCACACAGCAAGUCAGAAGCAAAGCAGGCAAUGGAAUCCAGAGGUCCUGAAUCACAGUCAUAUGUGUGGAUUUUCUGUAGGAUCCAGUAUUAUAAAAUGCUGUAGUGUAAUCGUUGGACCACAUGUCCUGAGAUACGGAGCUAUUGCUUAGCUUUGGUAUGCCUCUCUGUUCCUUUUCCUCCAAGAUCUGCCUAUUUAAUCCACAUUUAGGCCUCUCUUCACAGUUCAGAUCUUCUAAACCUUUAACCUCCUUGCUUUGGAUUUUCUAAGCUGUUGAUGCCUGUUUUGUAAUGUGGGGUACCAAAAUGUAGACUGAGUGGAGUGACAGUCUUAUGGGUAAGACUGGGCUGGGACUCAGGAGAUCGGGAUCAGUUCCUGGUUCUGCCACAGCCUCCCCUUUCUUCCUUUUGCCUGUCUUGUCUAUUUAGAGUUCUAGUGUCUAUCUGUAUGAGUACGUGCAGCACCCAACACACCAAAGCCGCUAGGCUCUAUUUCAGUACAAAUAAUAAAUCCUAUCUAACCAAGGUUGUGAAAAGAGCCAUCCUUACCCCUCUAUUCCUACAGGUACCAACCCUGAUUAUAUGGCGCUGAAGGGCAUUUUUAUCUUUUUUUUCCAUCAGUGUCACACUGCAGACUAGCCCCACCCCUGCAUUCGUUUUCCACAUUGCUCCUCUUGAGACAGCACUCUCCUGUUAUAUGUGUCUAUGCUUGUGCAUCACAUAGUAUUAUACAUUUAGCUGCCUCAGACCUCAUCACAUUUCGACUUGCCUAUCUCUCCUUGUCACACUGUAAUUUCCAUUCAGCCUCCUCUGUUUUUUCAGUCCCUUCCAGUUUUGUCUGAUCCGCAAAUGUGAUCAAUAGUGUAAUUUAUUCCCUCCCCACCCCCCCGGGCCAUUCUUUAAAUAAUAUCAACCCAAGACUGAGCUGAUACGUCUUUGCUUCAUACCUCAUGCUAUGUUGAUGGGGUUUGGCUCAGGGUUAAUUUAUUUAUGGUCUGUCAGGUCUAUAGCCAUGUGGCAAUUGUCUCAAAAGGAAUAUUUCAAUGAUUUAGCCAGAUUUCAGAAUCAUACACCCCUGCAUCAAAUAGAAUGGCGCUGGAUUUUUAAAAUACAAACCUCCCGCAAUAAAACUUUUUAUUUAACUGUGGCUAAAGUACUGGACAGAGAGUCAGGAGAUUUGAGUUCAUUUGCCAGCUCUGCCACAGAUUUGGCCAAGUCAAAAGAUUUCUGUGCCCGUUUGUGCACCUAGAAAAAGGGGACAGAUUGUCAGAUGUGCUCAGCACUUGCCAGCUUCCUCUGUUCUCUAUGGAGCUGAGGAGGGAUCAGCACCUUAGGCAUCUAAACCCAGAUUUUCCCAAAUGGGAGCUGAGCUCACCUGAAAAUCUGGCCCCACUCGUAGAUGCAGCUGGGUCCUUUUGAAAAAUCUGGGCGUUAGUCUUUCCGUGCCUCUGUUUCCCAUUUGUACAGACAGGGCUACGGAUAUUUCCUUUGUCUUGUCCCUUUAACUUGUCAGGUUUCUCUUACCAUGUGCAUGCACAAGGUCUAGCCCAACUCUUAUCUGUCGGGGGACCUGAAAGUGCUACUGUAAUAGAAAUAAUAAUAAAAAUUAUUGCACCAAAACGGUUAUGUAGCCAUGAAAAUGCUGAACUUCAACAGCAUUUCUAUUACAUUGAUUUCAAUCGGGAAAACACAUCUAGUUUCAGCAACUAUUUCAAGUUUUGUUCGGUGGCAAAUAUCAUUUUGCUUUGAGUUAAUUCAGAACAUUUCUGGAAUUUGUAUAUGAACAGAGAUAAACUGUAUUCUCCACACACCCUUGGAAAGUGCUUCUCUUUCCAUUGUACUAGUCCUCAGCUGAGAUGGGGUCCUGUUGCGCUAGGGGCUGUGCACGCACAUUGUAGCACAGUGUCAUCUUGUGGGCCCUGCAGGUAUCUAGCAGGAAGUAGGCUAGAGAUAGAGUGGCAACAGUUUAGAGUUUUUCUGAGGAAGAUACUGAAUCUGUCAUCAUCCUUUACGUUGCAGAUGCAAUUGUUAAAGAAAAGAAAUUGCACUGACAGCUGAGACUCAUUGCUUCUCAGGAACUCUGCCAGUAGAAUAAAUGACAGUCCAUACCCCAAUAGCUUGCAGUCCAAGUUAACGCCUCUGAACUGCUUUCCGGUUAUCUACAAGGAUGAGAGGAAAGGAGAGAUCUCCCUGUUCAUCUGCUUGAAAACAGGCUAAGGAGAAUAUUCCAGGUGUGGCACCUUCAGGUGAUUAGCUUGUCUUUGGUACCCUCCCUAACAGGAAGUUUCUCCUAGCAAGGUGUCCAUAUGCUCUAAUGAGCUCCAUGCUGGGGCAGGGAGGAUAUUGAGCUUAUUGCCAAGAUAAGGUCUUGGUCUGUGGGAAGACUAGAGCAAAGAAGCAGAGUGGAGUGUAUGUGCUUGAUAAUCAACUGACACCUUAUUUCUGUGUGUGUGAAAGGAGCAUUGAGGAAGCAGGAAAGAGAAGAAGAGGGGAUGUAGGAAAGGAUGAGUAGGAACGGGAAGUGGAUUUUUCCAGUGUCUCCUUAAACAUCUCUUGUAUAAGGUGGUAAAUCUGACUGCCUAAUUCCCAUGGGGACACAAUUAACUGCCUUUGGAAAUCCAAACGCUCUGUGUCUAGUUCAGAAGGAUUCUCUCCACUAUGAAAGACCACGUCAAACUCAACCCAUGACCAGUCUGCUGAAUGCAAGUUUUUCCAGCGAGGAAACAUCUUUUUAGACUUCAUGGUUGUGAACAUGACUUUUAAAUAAGCCCAUGCUUACAGUAUUAUAACUGAGUAAGGGGACUUGGUUUCACUAUUGCUGCAAUUGGUAGCAUAGAGAGUGACCUACUCUGGUUUAAAAAUCUGGAUGACCAGAAACAUUACCCUGGUAACAGGGAUGCUGUUUAGAAACUUGUACUGUAACAGCAUCCCCGCUACUGUGAUAAAAGCCUUAAACUGUCUGGGAUUUUAAGCCAGUUACUUGAAUAUAGUUUGGUCACAUCUAUACUAACUAGGAACCCGGCUAGUGUAGUCAUAGCCCAAGUUCUAGAGCCAGAGGCCCUUCUUCUGAUAUUACAAUGGUGUAACUCCACAAAGUUGAAUUGCUCCAGAUUUACACUACUGAGAUCAGAACCAGGUCCACAAUAUGUCAAAACAGUCCUAUCAAGUCUCAAACAUACAUUUCUGCCACAUACAAAUAGUUCAUGAUGGCUUUGACAUUCCUCUAAGUAGAGUUACUUAAAUUGAAGACUGAAAAAACAAAUACACUCUCUUGGAACUGAAUGGUAAUUAGUAAGCUACCACUGAAAAGAGCCAUGAUAAAUAGCUAUUAAAAUGAGCAUUAUAAAAAAAUUCUUAGAA